rnacentral:siRNA from 1 species
UGCGCUGGAUUAUGACUGAAC